ensembl:lncRNA
GUGUUUCUAUAGGUUGGGGGCUUUCAUCAAGGUUUGUGUUUCUGUAGGUUGGGGGCUUUCAUCAAGGUUAGUGUUUCUAUAGGUUGUGGGCUUUCAUCAAGGUGUUUCUGUGGGUUGGUGGCUUUCAUCAAGGUGUUUCUGUAUGUUGGGGGCUUCCAUCAAGGUGUUUCUGUUGGUUGGGGGCUUUCAUCAAGGUCAGUGUUUCUGUAGGUUGGGGGCUUUCUUCAAGGUGUUUCUAUAGGUUGGGGGCUUUCAUCAAAGUCAGUGUUUCUGUAGGUUGGGGGCUUUCUUCAAGGUGUUUCUAUAGGUUGGGGGCUUUCAUCAAAGUUAGUGUUUCUGUAGGUUGGGGGCUUUCAUCAAGGUUAGUGUUUCUAUAGGUUGGGGGCUUCCAUCAAGGUGUUUCUGUAGGUUUGUGGGUUUCAUCAAGGUGUUUCUAUAGGUUGGGGGCUUUCAUCAAGGUUAGUGUUUCUGUAGGUUUGGGGGCUUUCAUCAAGGUUAGUGUUUCUGUAGGUUGGGGGCUUUCAUCAAGGUUAGUUUUUCUAUAGGUCGGGGGCUUUCAUCAACGUCAGUGUUUCUGUAGGUUGGGGGCUUUCAUCAAGGUUAGUGUUUCUGUAGGUUGGGGGCUUUCAUCAAGGUUAGUGUUUCUAUAGGUUGGGGAUUUUAUCAAGGUGUUUCUGUAGGUUGGGGG